rfam:Synechococcus sp. WH 5701 1099465003540, whole genome shotgun sequence.
GCACGUUGAGCUUCCAAUCGAAGCUGCAGUCAGACCCAUGCCAAGCAACGGGGGCGUGGG